UUGAAAGGUGGGAGAAGGGGAUGACAGAGGAUGAGAUGGUUGGAUGGCAUCACCAACUCGAUGGACAUGAGUUUGAGCAAGCUCUGGGAGUUGGUGAUGGACAGGGAAGCUUGUCCAUCAGGUCCAGGCUGCAGUCAAUGGGGUUGCAAAGAGUUGGACAUGACUGAGCAACUGAACUGAACUGAGACAUUAAGUGCAGUUAAAGACUUUUAUUUCCUUCUCAGGGGUUAUAGAUAAUAUUCUGAACCAGGCUUUGAGCUGUCUUAUACAUCCUGAAUCUUGCACCAGGUGGAGAAGUUAGCUGUAUGAUGACCACACCAUAGCCAUGGUAUGGGCUGCCACCAUUCUGAGAUCUGGCCUCAAGGAAAUGGGAACAAACUGACCAUGGAACUGAAGAUAAACUGUACCUAAAACAACCAAGAUGAUACUGGUCAUACCAUUGCAUGGCCAAUUUCAAAAUGACUGUCAACACUGACUGUGCUGUUUCUGCAUGUAGCCCCCUCCCUUUGUCUAUAACAGCUCUUGCCCCCUGAUUGUCAGGUUGAGGGGUGGGGAGUUGGCCUUUGGACAGGCGUCUACCCUCCCCCCAACACACUUGGUUGCCAGCAUCCAAAAGGAAGCAAAUUUCCUUUCCACCCACAUGGCCUCUUUAACAACUUUUGAGUGGCAAGCAGCCAAACCUGGGUUUGAAAUACUAGGUUUCAAACACUAGGUCAGAGCCAGGAAGGACUAUGGAAAAGCCCCAUGUCAGCACCUCAUUUUAUAGAGCAGGAAACUAAAGCCCCUGAAAGGAAGGGACAUGUUUUCUAGACCAGAAGGAAAGGUCUCUGAGCCUAGCAGGUGCUGGAUGGAUCCAGGCAGAGAGCCUGGGUCAACCUGUGUUUUUUGUCCUCAUGAUCUGGGGUUCGGGUCUUCUGGGUAAGGUCAGACUGGUGAUACUCUGGGUGUCCACAGGCUCCCUAGAUUCAUAUCUGGGUCACUCUCCUUUCGAGUGGUCCUUUCCUCAGUGUCCCAGGCCACCCAGUUUCCCCUUAGAUCAGGCGGCUGACGUGGGAGGCCCAGGCCUCUCCAGGGCUCCACCUCAGGUCUUGGGGGUGUAGGAUACAAGGUCGGGUGCCAUGGCAACGGUGAUGUGUGAAGUGAUGGAAACUGCAACCCUGUGUGAGGGACCAAAUUCCCACCCUCCUGCUUCCAGCCUCUGUUCCUUUGGGGAUGAACCUAGCAGUGGAAUUAGCACUGAUGAGUGCUUAGUUGCUCAGUCAUGUCCAGCUCUUUGCGACCUCAUGGGCUGUAGCCCACCAGGGUCCUCUGUCCAUGGAAUUCUCCAGGCAAGAAUACUGGAGUAGGCUGCCAUUCCCUUCUCCAGGGGAUCUUUCCAACCCAGGGACUGAAGCCAGGUCUCUGGCAUUGCAGGCAGAUUCUUUACUGCCUGAGCCACCAGGGACGCCCAUGGAGUUGCUGAUCAGAGGGUAACUCUAGGUCUGCCUUUUGGAGACACUGCUAAGCUGUCUUCCACAGGGGCUGCACCAUCUAACAUGCCUGCUAGCAAAGUACAAAGGUUCCAAUUUCUUCACAUCCUGGCCAACAUCUGUUCUUUUGAAAACAAGAGUCUUUUUCCUCUCUAGUGGCAGCCCCUGCAGGGUUCCCCCCACCCUCACCAGCUCGUUCUGUUCUCUUUAGGACCUGAUCACAAAUGAUCUGCCCGUUCUCACUUCCGAGGCUCUUCAGCCCAAGUGCCAUAGCAGUAACUCAGGAACAAGGUGUUAAGGCAGCAAGUCUCACACUUUGCACAUCAGAGGGCUGUUGAAACACAGGCCUUUGGACCCCACCCCCACAGUUUCUGAUUCAGUUGGUCUGGGAGCAGCCUUGGAAAAUGCUUUUCUAACAAAUUCCCAAUGAGUGCCCAAGCUACAGUCUGGAGACCAAUCUGAGAACUAGGCUUUGAGACACUGUAGGCUUUGCCCUUAGGAGGUCCCUUGCGUGGUACUUUCCCUUCCUCGUUUGCAUAACAAUAGCACCCCACAUACCUCAAUUGUACUUUAAACUCUCCCUCCCCUAAACCUCCUGAGGCUGGGUGUAGGGAGACAGAGGGCAAUGAUUCCUUCUCUUCCUCAGUUCUCAGACCCUCAGCCCACCUGAGCUGCUCCUUCUGGGAAGCGAGCGUACCCUGGCUGAUAGCAUCACGGCAACGAGGCCCCCAUGUCGCCUUGGAUCAGCUUUGAUUGACUUCCCACUUUGGAGCUAUUCUCGGAGAACAAGAUGGCAGAGGAGUAGGUGGAUGUGGAGUACAUCUCUCUCCACGGAUACAUCAGGAAUACACCUUCAGACACAGAAGUGCAUGUAGAACAGUUGAGAGUAGACAGGAGGGCCUGACCAGUGGAGAAGAAUAUAUAGAACCAGGCAAACUCAGGAGGACAAAGAACUAGGGGGGAAAACAGGAGUAUUGGUAGGACUGGGACUACCCCUGGUGGGCGGGGGAACUGAAGCAGGGGUCCGAUCCCCACAUCGAGGCAAUUGUCUGAGUCAGAGGAGAAACAUUUAAGGCUGAGAAUGAAACAGCUGAUCGGUGGUAGCCUAAAUGGAAUGAGGAUCAGACAGUCCUUGCCACAGCCGUACACACCCCAGACAGGAACGGGGGUCUCCUGGAAGGGGCAGCGGCUGGGACCUGGAAUUUUGGGAUUGUGACAAUCCCAGUGAGAGGGCUGCUGUUGACUGCAGAAAGACGGAUCAGCGAUGUGAGCUAGGAGAUCGUGGUGGGAGAUGCCUGUGGAGGAAAGCCAGGCAGCCGUGGAAGCAAGGCGAUACUGCUGAGUCAUGUGUAGGGGACGGAGCCAUAGCCUCUACCUUCACACACACCAGCAUUGGCAGCUGAACAACAGAGAGACUGGCCCAUCAAACACCUGACGCACUGAACUACAGAGUAGGAUCCCACCCAAGGAGCUCCUUUAAGUGCCUGACCUGCCAAACAAGAAGGACCCCAAGCAAGGGAGCCCUCUGAGUGCCUGAACCUGCAGAGCUACAGAGAAAGACUGGCCAAAGAGGCCUUCUGAUCACCAGCUACAAGAGGCUCGAAAAACGACUCUAAUAGGGCCGUAACUCCCUGAACACUUGGCGCUGCCAGGGUCCCUGCAAGCCAAGCAGCUGCAACACCUUCAUGCUCAACUCUCAGUGAGGCAGAGCUGCCGCAGGCAAAAAAAAAAAAAGUCUUCUGUUUAUGCUCAUAGGGUCACUUCGGUCAAACUCCUUGCGACCCUGUAGACUGUGGCCUGCCAGGCUUCUCUGUCAGAGAGGGGGUUCUCCAGGCAAGAAUACUGGAGCGUAUUGACCAAUACUGGUUGCAUACCCUUCUAGAGCACUAUAUUUUCUGCUGCCCUAGCCACCAACCCCCCUGAGUACCUGGUGUUGCCAGAACCCCUGCGACCCAAGCAGCUGCACCACCUCCAUACCUGGCCCUAGGGGCAAACCCAAGCCCUCCAGGGCAGCCUCAGGAGCUAAACCCCAACAGAUGACCCACAUGUAGAGGUGGAAAUAAAACCACAAUUGAAACCCAGGGGGCAGUGUGGCUAAGGAAGAAGACCCCAAACCUUCCCACCAGCUGUACAAGGGGCAGAUUAAAUCCACACGAUCAACUAAGCAGACUCUGCAUCUGUGGAAUAUACAAAAGGCCGCUGAGAGCUCCCACAAAAGAAGACGCACUAGCUCUGAUGGCUGUGGAUGUUGGAGGCAAGAACACGCAGGAGUAGGACCAGAUUAGAAUCUGAGCUGCCCCCACAGCAGGUCCAGAGAUCAGCACAGUGUUGGAGGGCAUCCUAGGGAGGGCAGCGCAGUUAUAGCAAGAGUAGAGGUGGUAGAGUCACCGGAGGAGGUGGAAGCAAGCAGCAAUUCUCAAGCCUCUACUUCCUUCCUGUUUCAUAACAUCCCAUUGGCUAAAGCAAGCAGCGUCGCCGUAGCCAAUACGAAAGGGUGCGGGAGAAUGAGGACACCACGCCCACAAUGGAG
ensembl:lncRNA